rnacentral:rRNA from 1 species
UACGGGGGGUGCGAGCGUUGUCCGGAAUCACUGGGCGUAAAGGGCGCGUAGGUGGUCUGAUAAGGGUGUGGUGAAAGCCCGGGGCUCAACCCCGGGUCGGCCGUGCCGACUGUUAGACUAGAGUACUGUAGGGCAGGCGGAAUUCCGGGUGUAGCGGUGGAAUGCGUAGAGAUCGGGAGGAACACCAGUGGCGAAGGCGACUACCUGGCCUGUUCUUGACGCUGAGGCGCGAAAGCUAGGGAGCA